UCUAGUUUGAGUCUUAGAUAUCAACCGAUUAACCGAAACUAAGUACAUAGACUAACUCACAAACCUAAGAAUUGUUCUUAAUUUUAGAAAAUUAAGCUAUAUUCUCUACCAGAUUAUUCUAAUGUUAACAAUCCAUUCAAUCCAUAAUCAAUGAGCUGUACUUGGUGAGUGGAUGGACAAUGACAAUAAAGAUAGGUGCUAUGCAUGAGCACAUGUUCACUACCAAAAAUAUGUUGAUUCAUCUACAAGUAUUAUGAGAUGAUCAGAGUUACACAGCGCAUGUGAUGUGUGAUGGACAAUCAGUCUA
rnacentral:lncRNA from 1 species